AAUAAAGGCAUAAAAAGUGUCCCGUUUGAACCUUGUGAAUACCUAGGAUACAAAUGACAUGUCUUUAUGGGUUAUACGGUUUCGAGUGCUAGUAUUGGAUGUUCUACCGAUGACUAAGGUCCUGUAUUUGUUGCAGAUCCUCCUUAGCUUGUUUGAGUAGCAUCGUGUAGCUUACAUCCUGACCCACAACUCGUGUGAGCAGGCCCACUUCACAGCUUGUGUGAGCAUUUCAUAUAUGGC
rnacentral:lncRNA from 1 species